rnacentral:rRNA from 1 species
UACAGAGGGGGCAAGCGUUAUUCGGAAUUAUUGGGCGUAAAGGGCGCGUAGGCGGCCUGACAAGUGGAAGGUGAAAUCCCUCGGCUCAACUGAGGAACUGCCCUCCAAACUGUUUGGCUUGAGACCGGGAGAGGUGAGUGGAAUUCCCAGUGUAGCGGUGAAAUGCGUAGAUAUUGGGAGGAACACCAGUGGCGAGGGCGGCUCACUGGACCGGUACUGACGCUGAGGCGCGAAAGCGUGGGGAGCAAACGGG